CGUGCGGUUCUAUUUUGUUGGUUUCUAGGAUCGCCGUAAUGAUUAAUAGGGACAGUUGGGGGCAUUAGUAUUCAAUUGCUAGAGGUGAAAUUCUUGGAUUUCUUGAAGACUAACUACUGCGAAAGCAUUUGCCAAGGAUGUUUUCAUUAAUCAAGAACGAAAGUUAGGGGAUCCAAAACGAUCAGAUACCGUUGUAGUCUUAACCAUAAACUAUGCCGACUAGGGAUCGGACGAUGGUAAAUUCUGCCUCGUUCGGCACCUUGCGAGAAAUCACAAGUCUUUGGGUUCCGGGGGGAGUAUGGUCGCAAGGCUGAAACUUAAAGGAAUUGACGGAAGGGCACCACCAGGAGUGGAGCCUGCGGCUUAAUUUGACUCAACACGGGGAAACUCACCAGGUCCAGACAAUAGUAGGAUUGACAGAUUGAAAGCUCUUUCUUGAUUUAUUGGGUGGUGGUGCAUGGCCGUUCUUAGUUGGUGGAGUGAUUUGUCUGGUUAAUUCCGAUAACGAACGAGACCUUAACCUGCUAAAUAGCUCGUCCGGCUUUUGCUGGUCGUUAGCUUCUUAGAGGGACUAUCGGCGUUUAGCCGAUGGAAGUUUGAGGCAAUAACAGGUCUGUGAUGCCCUUAGAUGUUCUGGGCCGGACGCGCGCUACACUGACAAAGCCAGCGAGUUAUUUCCUUGGCCGAAAGGUCUGGGUAAUCU
rnacentral:rRNA from 1 species